GUUUGUUUCAAAACUGUACAUUUCAGAUCUUUAAAAUGAAUGGAUAGUGCAUGAUGGAGAAAUUGCAGCUUUUAAUUUCGAUAAUCUAUGAAAUGAUUGCUCAAGUCUCUCCAAUAUAAGAAAACGAGACAUUAUCAGAACACAGCACGGAAACUUUUUGAGUUUAGAAUGUCCAGUGUUCCCUCACCACAGCAGCUCCUUGCAACAGUGUCCUCCGAUCCCACCAUCAAGCCAAUUGCCUCUUUAAUCCCAUGAGCACGAUAGCGAAUGUCAGCUAGCUACCAGCCCACAAAGCACAAAGACCAGCGCUGAAGGUGUCAUCUUGAGCUCACUCGGUACUUGGCCAGUAGAGUCCUCUGAAGCACGAUGAGGAGAAAUACCCCUGCCAAUGUUGUCUCCCUAACCUGUGGGAAUGCCAGAGUCAGUCCCUGUGAAACAUGUAAUGAAGAUCUGCAACUUGAACUUGCACUCCAAGGCUGUAUGAAUCACCCUACACACCACACGGUCAUGCUAUGAUCAGAUGAACCACUCGGGGACACCAUAGGCCUGCUUUCUAAUAAGGUCAUUCCACUGCAGCAGUGUCUUUGGGGUCAAAGCAUCUUACUGGCUGCAUGUCAGUGGCAUCUGGUUGGCUAUUGACAGGAAAGAAGACCCUGAAGGGGUGGGGACAGUUUCACUCUCCAGGUGAAAUAACCAGGAAAGUGUUUUCUUACAGCAAGUGUCGUACCCGAUAUCAUGUUUUCAAACGAAUAUGGAUGUUUGCUUUCACCUACACGGUGAAUAAAUGUGCAUGUCAUGGGAAAUGGGAUUUUGUUUUUUUUAGCCACAGUCACUUUAAUAAAGGGAUGGAUGAAAUGCUACCCAACAAAAUGCAUUAUUUCAGAUAUUACAGAAGGGUAUUA